CAUGCUAACCAGCUAACGGCUAACGUUAGUUUGCUGCAGUGGGAGCAACGUUAACAGUACCACGGUGUGUGGUCACUUCGACACGGUAGCAUUAGCUUAGCAUCACGAAGUGAACUGGUACUAACAGUGUAGUGGUUCUGGCACAUACACUGGAGGCAAACCAGUUGGGAUGCACAUUGCUAACAGUAUGUAGCAUGCGUUGCUCAUGCUGUGGUUUGUAGUCAUUUCAUGCAUUCUUUCUGCAUUCUAGCAGACUUCUACCAGCUGGUUAACCUCCCUGUGGUUGACUGUUUUUAUCGUAACGUUAAACUGCGUGGCUCAGCCGCAAUGGGCCCCUUUAAAACGUCUUCAUAUUCUCGUUGUUCCGGAUCCUGGAGUGUGUGGACUGCGUGGAAAAUCGCAUGACGAGUCGGGAUCUUUUGUUUUGGAGCAAACGACAGAAACCAGCUUUGUUCUGUGAAGCAGCUGCAGCAGCUCAACACGAACGAGUCCUUGAUGGACUGAGGAGAUGAGGAUGAGGAGAUGAGAAAUUAGGAGAUGAAGAGCUGAGGAGGAUUAGGAGAUGAGGAUUUCCUGUUGAGCUGUUUUGUACUCGAUAUGCCUCUUUUAUGUUGUGCUGUAGGAACCGUUAUAUAGAGUUUAUGACUUGAUCGUUAAUGUUGAAUAGAGGCAUCGACCAAUCGGGUCAAGUUCUACCGAGACAACUCUCCAGGUACUCUGAUCAAUACUAUUGUCGUUUGUUUAUAUGUGAAAAAAAGGGACUCAUUAAGGAAAAAAUCGAUGUCGCCUGAAGGUUUUUGUGUGUAAACUAUUCCUUCUUCAGCAGCAAUUCAAAAUACGUUUCAAUUGAUCAACACUAACGUUUACUAUUGCUUUCACAUCGUCCCGGGGAUUGACACAUGAUGACCGCUGUCCGUCGUUUUAUUCACCCGCGCGAUAUUUUCCCUAACCCGGUGUCUCGGGGUCACGGGGUCACAGGGUCACAGGGUCGCUGACGCACAUGUCUGACUGUUGUCCUCUCCACAGUGUGACGUUCAUCUCUCACUGCCCUC
ensembl:lncRNA